AUGAAAGGAGCCCACAAACCAAGCCGGAGCAUGGCACAAGCCUUGAGGAAUGACAGCGAGAGUGAAAAGACCCGAUGGAUGAAUGAAAGCAGAAAAGCAUGGAUGGAAGGAGGAAAAGGUGGCUUUAUUACCUGCAGACUCCAACCGAGAGGGGAUUUAACACACGCAGCCAGCUGCGGAGGACAUCCCGAGCCCCUAAAAAUGCGAGGUCAAGCUAACCCAAAAAAGUCCUUACGAGGGACGUAUUUGAGUGAGGAAGGACAAAAAAAGCUUGGAAACCAGAUGGAUGUUUCUCCUAGUUGCUCCCGCAGACAGGAAUCUGCUCGCAGAGACGCGAGCCACGCUCUCCCCCAGGAGAGAAGUACAAAGGCCAGUCUGCACGCGGCAGAUGCAAAACCAAGUCCCUCUGCUGCAGGCUUCCCAUCGCCACAUGGAGAUUGA
ensembl:lncRNA